UACGUAGGGGGCGAGCGUUAUCCGGAAUUACUGGGCGUAAAGCGCACGCAGGCGGUUCGCCAAGUUUGGAGUGACAGUUGUCGGCUCAACCGACAAAGGACUUCAAAAACUGGUGAACUUGAGGACGAGAGAGGAACAUGGAACUCCAGGUGUAGUAGUGAAAUGCGUAGAUUUCUGGAAGAACACCAAUGGCGAAGGCAAUGUUCUGGCUCGUUUCUGACGCUCAGGUGCGAAAGCCAGGGGAGCGAACGGG
rnacentral:rRNA from 1 species